GUUCCCCUUCCAACUACUGAGUCUGGGUUCCUGUGCUCAGGUCUAGUAGUCUCUGUUUGAUUAAGUCCUCUGAGUUGUUCUGGUCCAUAUUAAAGUAUGAGAGAAUACUUGAGCCUCCUUCCUAUGGCAUUGUGCCUAGGGUUACUUCUUUAAUGCUCUUUUUUUUGUCACUUUUCUUAGAAAGUUAAAUAUUUUAUUGUAAGUAUGCUCCUCUUGCAUCAUAAAAAUGAAAUCUUACUAUAAGGCAGCACCUAUUACCCAGAGAAUUUAAUCUACUGUCUAUGGAGUUUGCUGAGAGUAUAGGCACUUACUUUCAGUGGAGCUAAAAGUGUUUAUUUUUAUUUUUUAAUAUUUUAAACUUGGCCUGAGAAAACAUUUCAAUGGAGAAUAUUUGAAAGGAAAGGGACAUGAAAAGAUUUUUAUAUCCACUUGGGUUUUUCAUCUUCUGAGUCUUCAUAUAUUUAUGCUAUUGUUAUUCAGGUCUAUUUUUGCAUGGGACAAUACCACAGGGAAGAGGUUCCCUGAGUGUCAGAAUAGACCUUUGCUGAUUGCAGAGUACUGAAGGAUUCUCCGUCCAAAGAAAUUGACCUUAUCCACAGUUUAUUUUUGGUUAGCAAUUUCAAUGCUGAUGGAGGUUAGAGUUUGGUAGCAGAAGGCAUUUGUUCUUUUGAGAUUGACUCUGUGUUGGGCCAUUGUUACUAAGUCAUACCACAAGCCUACCCUGUGCACAUCUGAGUCAGCCCUAGUUUCCGUAUUAUCAGAUGGGGUUCUGCAUUAUCUCCUGCUCAUGCUACAAGGAUGUGAUUGUACUUCCCUUUCUUCCGCACUGAAACCCUAGAAACAAAAUGAGAUAAAAUUAGUAAUUUAAGACUACUAAAUAAUACACAGCAGCAAGAAUAUCUUAUCACUUGAUUGUAAUUGCCUUAUUAUAUUAAUGAUAAUGCAUAAGCAUUAGAUUAUAUCUUUCUGAUUAUGUUUAUUUGUUACCUAUAAGAAUAAAUGAUACAUGAUUUUAUUAGGUUUAUUUUUCUCUACCUUUCACAUGAUAAUGUGCACCUUCCAAUGAAGACUUGAUGUUAAAUUCACUAAUGAGCCAAAUAGGUAUUAAUGAAGAUGAUACGUAUAGCUAAAAAUAAACAUAAGAUAAUGUUUAGGGGAAUAUGUUCUCUGGAAUGGCUCAGUCACCUCCUCUGGGUGAGUAGUUGCCCUUGGAAGGAAACAGAGGAAGAUCGUGGAAGAACUGUGUGUAUGAGGUCUCAUCUCUGAAGUCUAACCCUGUGUGUAGGCUCAGGACACACCUGGCUCCUCUAAACAGAUUCCACACGACACUUAAGCAGUUUUCAGGACAGAGAUUUGAAGCUGUUUGGAUCUCAUGGAUCAUGAAAUGUUUUAUGUGUUUGCUGUGGUCACUACUCCAUUUUACUCUGAAUAUAAAGAUACAGAUACUAGCGGCAAAGACACUGGGCAAAAAGGAUUUAUUUAACAUCAAGGUAAAUGGGAGAAAAGCUUUCUGUCUAGGCUGCUAUACAAAAAUAUCUAAAUCUAACUCAUUUAUAAGCAACAAAUCUACCAGUAUAUUGCAAGUUCAUGGUGUUAGAAGAUUUAAUGUUCCUGGUAGGUCCUGAUCCCUGGUUCACAGACAAUGGCUUCUCCUGUGUUCUUACAUGGGAGAAGGAAGGGGGGCCCAAGUCUAUAGACACUGACUGCAUUUACAAGUGCUGUAUAGUGCCAUUCAUGAAACCUUCCAGAGUCUCUCAUACUGGAUAUUAGAUUUCAGCAUAGGCAUCUGCGGGAGACCUAAGUGUUCAGACCUCAACAGGUACAGGAAGGAACAUACUCUAACCUAUGACUCUCUGAACAUAAACUGAAACAUGGAUGAAUUGGGGGAAAGUAGGGCAGAUGGAUCAAGGACCUAGAGAAGCUUUUCUUUUUGUUUGGAGUAAAAGUGAAAUAACAGUAACUUGGAAUCUAGACACCUCCCAUAUCUGAAGCCUUCUGAGCAACAGGGAACCAUUCAAACUUUCAAGAAACCAGAACAUGUCAGACUUUUGGAUUAGGGAUAGUCACCCCAUAAAGUCAUUUCAAAUACUUAGUCCAGGAAACCUCUCCAAUCAAGCCUUCAGGAUGUAGAGGUCCUGGACCUGAUUUAAGACCUUGGUAAUGUUUUAUGAUAUCUGGUGACCUUAUUCUGAGAUUUUACCCUAUUUGGACAGCUGAGUCUACUAGAUGAUAUUUAUAUGUUAACUUAGAGUUUAUUUGUUUAGAUAAUUGAAUCAGCAAAGUUAUAUAAUUAGUUUAUACUUGAAAAUUAUCAUAAUAAAGUAUCCUUUAUAUAAUUCUCUUUGCCACCCUUAAAAGACAAACUGUGAAAGAAUUCAAAAAAGAAAGGAGAAUAUAAAAGGGAGUAGGGUGGGUGGGCAAGGAUCAUAUAUUGGUAAGACAUAAGGAAAAAUGAAGGAGACAUGAUUGUGUUUUGGGCAGAUAAUGGCCUGAAACCUGACUUUAAUGUGUCUGUUUCUCAUUUUUCUUAUGGUCAUAUAUAUGUGAUUUUGGUGUGCCUGUUUUUCACGUUUAUGGGCACAUGUAUGUGCAUGUGGGCAAUUCCACAUUAAGGAAAAAGCAAAUGGCAAAUAAUGUAUUUGCAAAUAUUUGUUGCUCCUUAACUUACUUGCAAUUCUUUUGUGCUUUUUAUUAAUAAAAGUAUUUUCUGUGUAGGAGUAGAGCCCUGACAUCUGCCAUAAUUUGAUUAAUUGUGUUGAACCUGGGAACCAGUGUUUUGGUUAGUAACAAUUGGAUAUUCAUCCCUUUAUAGAUUUUUAGGUAGAGGAAUUUUAAUCAGCAACAUGGCUGCUCUGGCAAGGGAUCACAUCCAAAGAUCCUGCUGCAAUGCAUGCCCUGGAUCAAAUUUGGCUGGAAUAUAGACACACCCUUAAUACACAGCUCUAAUCCCUAAAUAUGAAGGUAAGGUUAGUUUGUAGAAGGAAGCAACCAUAUGUGAAAGAAAGUGAUAUCUAAUUGAGGGGCAGACAAAGUGGUGAAUCAGAAAAAGAUUUCACAGAAUGAGUCAGAGAUAGACUAUGCUCACUAGAGGGGCUACUUAAGAGCAGCAAGAGAGACAAGAGGUAUGGUGUAUGGUGUUUAUGGCAGUUUUACUGAGACAGGUUACAUAGAGAACAACCUAGACAUCAGUAAAGACCGAAUAACCCAAAGAAUGAGAAGGAGCCAGAGGAUUAUAACAUAUUGCCAAAGUUAAUUCUGAAAAUUGGCUCUUGUUUUAUAAUUGCUCCUCUGCAAAUGUAUAUACAUGAUACUUUAAAAAAAAGCAGCUAGAUAUUAGUGUGACCACUCAGUUUGGUCAAUCAACAUGAUAGAUAUUUAUACCUCUGAUAUAGAUGAUGUGGGGUAUGAACUUGCGAGCAAGACCUGGUUGCUGCCCUCCAAGGACACAGAUGAUAGCAGGAAACAUUGUCUGCCCAACGAAAGGCACAUCACAGCUCUCACUAAUCUAAAGGCCAUGCAUGGUCUUUCUUACCUUUGGAAGUAUAGCUGUCUCAAAGUCCAAACUCCUUUUCAUUUUCCAAAUAAUAGUAUAGUGGUUUCCCUGACAGUAUCCACUGAUUAGAUUAUUAGAGCUU
rnacentral:lncRNA from 1 species